AAAUGUAUUAACAUAAUUGUGAGUGGUGUUACUACCACCAUAAUGGCUUACGGGAUGUUGACAGUAGAGGAUGUUGUCAGUAAAACUCGGAUGUGGUGCUUAGGCACUAUGCAGCCACACCUCUUCAGAAAGCAUCCUGUGCUCCCUUGCUGACACUGCAAUUGGGUCUGAUCAUGGGCAGGUGACUCAGAGUGUCUUGCAGUUGCCAAGGCAGUGAAAGGUAAAGUGUCUGGUGGCUGCUUCUCCUGGUGUGUUUUGUGCUUGUUUCUUAACCGGAUGCUGUUGGGAGUAGGAAGUGGCAAAAAAUUGUGGGCAAAGUCAGAACAUCAGCUUUCUACAGGCCAUUGAGCCUGUAGAAUGUGCCAUGUACGCUGGAAGCUGAGCUGCUCUUUUCCUGUGGUCCCUUGCUUACAAAAUCCCAGGAUGAAGACAGAGCGGCUGCGUUUCUCUGGCAUCUUCUCUAACCCAGCAGCAGCCUAAAACUUCUCUUUUUUAGGAGUUUUCAUAUUGCAUAUGCCUCUGUUGCCUCAGCUUUGAACCAGAUGAGGCCUUUUCCCUGGACUGUCCCUGAGCACUUAUGUGGCUGUAGUGCUGCAAAAGAUUAGCAUCCUGCUGCUGAGAGCAGACACUCCAUGUGACGUUAAUUUAGAACAUUCUGCUAUUCAGCAAGCUGGUAUCAGCCCUUCUCCUUUGUCAAACUGGAAAACAAGAGCAUGAAGUUGUCCCCUUCUCUUGGCCUCUCCAGCAUGAAUCUCCUGUUACAUCUGUGACCAAGCAACCGAAUGAAUAGUCCCAGUCUGAAACUUGUUUGCAUCUCUCAAGCAUUACAGAAAUUCCUGAAGAUGU